GACGAACGCUGGCGGCGUGCUUAACACAUGCAAGUCGAACGGUAAGGCCCUUCGGGGUACACGAGUGGCGAACGGGUGAGUAACACGUGGGUGAUCUGCCCUGCACUUCGGGAUAAGCCUGGGAAACUGGGUCUAAUACCGGAUAGGACCACUGCCUGCAUGGGUGGUGGUGGAAAGCUUUUGCGGUGUGGGAUGGGCCCGCGGCCUAUCAGCUUGUUGGUGGGGUGAUGGCCUACCAAGGCGACGACGGGUAGCCGGCCUGAGAGGGUGACCGGCCACACUGGGACUGAGAUACGGCCCAGACUCCUCCGGGAGGCAGCAGUGGGGAAUAUUGCACAAUGGGCGCAAGCCUGAUGCAGCGACGCCGCGUGAGGGAUGACGGCCUUCGGGUUGUAAACCUCUUUCAGCACAGACGAAGCGUAAGUGACGGUAUGUGCAGAAGAAGGACCGGCCAACUACGUGCCAGCCGCCGCCGUAA
rnacentral:rRNA from 1 species